rnacentral:rRNA from 1 species
UACGGGGGGAGCAAGCGUUGUUCGGAUUUACUGGGCGUAAAGGGCGCGUAGGCGGCCACCGCAAGUCGACUGUGAAAUCUCCGGGCUUAACCCGGAAAGGUCAGCCGAUACUGCGGGGCUAGAGUGCAGAAGGGGCAACUGGAAUUCUCGGUGUAGCGGUGAAAUGCGUAGAUAUCUGGAGGAACACCGGUGGCGAAGGCGGGUCUCUGGGCAUUUCCUGACGCUGAGGCGCGAAAGCGUGGGGAGCAAACGGG